AACGAACGCUGGCGGCAUGCCUAACACAUGCAAGUCGAACGAGACCUUCGGGUCUAGUGGCGCACGGGUGCGUAACGCGUGGGAACCUGCCCUUAGGUUCGGAAUAACUCCCCGAAAGGGGUGCUAAUACCGGAUAAUGUCUUCGGACCAAAGAUUUAUCGCCUUUGGAUGGGCCCGCGUUGGAUUAGCUAGUUGGUAGGGUAAAAGCCUACCAAGGCGACGAUCCAUAGCUGGUCUGAGAGGAUGAUCAGCCACACUGGGACUGAGACACGGCCCAGACUCCUACGGGAAGCAGCAGUGGGGAAUAGUGGACAAUGGGCGAAAGCCUGAUCCAGCAAUGCCGCGUGAGUGAUGAAGGCCGUAGGGUUGUAAAGCUCUUUUACCCGGGAUGAUAAUGACAGUACCGGGAGAAUAAGCUCCGGCUAACUCCGUG
rnacentral:rRNA from 1 species